GAUGAACGCUGGCGGCGUGCCUAAUACAUGCAAGUCGAGCGAACAGACGAGGAGCUUGCUCCUUCGACGUUAGCGGCGGACGGGUGAGUAACACGUAGGUAACCUACCUAUAAGACUGGGAUAACUUUGGGAAACCGGAGCUAAUACCGGAUAAUAUUUCGAACCGCAUGGUUCGAUAGUGAAAGAUGGCUUUGCUAUCACUUAUAGAUGGACCUGCGCCGUAUUAGCUAGUUGGUAAGGUAACGGCUUACCAAGGCAACGAUACGUAGCCGACCUGAGAGGGUGAUCGGCCACACUGGAACUGAGACACGGUCCAGACUCCUACGGGAGGCAGCAGUAGGGAAUCUUCCGCAAUGGGCGAAAGCCUGACGGAGCAACGCCGCGUGAGUGAUGAAGGUCUUCGGAUCGUAAAACUCUGUUAUUAGGGAAGAACAAACGUGUAAGCAACUGUGCACGUCUUGACGGUACCUAAUCAGAAAGCCACGGCUAACUACGUG
rnacentral:rRNA from 1 species